ensembl:lncRNA
GUUUGUGAUCUUGUUCCUUGGGAUCUGGGUUACAGCAGCAUCCAGGGAGCCUGUGAGGACAUGAGACAGAAACUGGAGACAGAGACUAGGAAGGGUCCUCUUGCAACAGUCUCAAGGGGAGACGCUUCAGCCACGACCUGGAACAUUUACGGUCUAGACAACCCAUGCAGUUUGAAUGGAUUCACUGGAAAAUGUGAGAUUUUUUUAAGAAGAAGGGCAAUACUAUAACUGGGCUCCAAUUUGCCACAGUUCUUCCAUGGCUGCUGCUUUUUUUGGUCAAUGUUUUCAAGAUGCAGAUCUUUCCUGAAAAUACUGGCUUAUUGCAGGAAGAUAUUCGCUUAAUGUGAUGUGGAUUUCAAAUAAAACUUAAGACCUUCACUUAUAUCUUGAAUUAACUAAAAGUGGUUCCUUAAAGAGGCAAUUUUAGUGUAACAUAAAUUGUUCCUGAUUUUAGGACAGUGUUCAGCAUUGUAAUGUAACAGAUUUCCAAUACAGCAUACUUAAACAGUAGUGUGAUGCCCUGUAUAACAUAAAAAACAAACGGGCUGCUUAUGCUCGUCCUGCCUCCGCCCUGUCUGUGGAAAGUCCAUGGCAUCCCACGCCAGAAAAUCCUGCUGCAUCUCACACUGGGUGGUAAUUUGAGUGGAAGAGCCUAUUAUUGUUGGGGGUCACAUCAAUGGAGAGACCAGAGAACUCAGGUCCAGUGGAAUCCUGCAGGAGGAGUUUGGAGGUGCGUGGGAAGGAGAGGAGAAGCAGAAAUCACUCUGGGAGCAGAAUCUAUGCCUGAGGAGGAGUGAGAGACUGUUAUCAGAGGAAUGUAUGGAAGAGACAUAUAUUGGAUGGGUAUGAAUUGAAAGAGACAGUGUAGGGAGUUCCCGUCGUGGCUCAGGGGAAAAAAAUCCAACUGAUAUCCAUGAGGACACAAGUUCAAUCCCUGGCCUGGCUUAGUGGGUCAAGGAUCUGGCAUUGCUGUGAGCUGUGGUGCAGGUUGCAGAAGCGGCUCAGGUCUGGCAUUGCUGUGGCUGUGGUGAGGCCAGCAGCUACAGCUCCAAUCCGACCUCUAGCCUGGGAACCUCCAUAUGCCAUGGGAGCGGCCCUAAAAAAGCAAAUAAACAGACAGAAAAAAAAAACAAACACCUCUAAUUUAUGGGCAACCAAGAGAGUCCUGGGUGUCAUGGACCAAUAUCCUCCCUACUUUGGGUGGCUCUUGAAUCUUAUUUAUAACCCAUAUUCCCUCUGACUUACCUUCCACCACAGGCAGAACACAGACCUCUCGGUAUCACCCACAUGCUUUUGCCAAAAGCUUUUGCUAUAUGUUCAGGGAUGUGAUCCUAGGGGCGAUGAAAAUCUCUUCUCAUUUGUGAAUUAUUGGUCCUUAUAACAAACAUCCUUUGGCACAAAAGAUGCCAACAAGAAAUGGUUUCUUACUACUGGUUAGUGCUUUCUGUGUCAUAAGAAAUGUUUGCUUACGUUCAACUUACAUAGGCGUUUUUCCGUUUUCUUCUAGAUUUGUAGUUUUCGCUUUUACACUUAGGCCUAUUGUCUGUCUCAUACUGAUCUUUGUUUACGGUUUGAGGUAAGAGUAAAGUUCAUUUCUUUCCAUGUGCUCAUCCAUUUGUUUCAAUAUUGUUGAGAAAAUUGCUCCCUUCAUGCAGUGGAAUUUUCAAUCCACAAACAUAUCUUUCCAUUUUUAAUAUUUUCUUUAGCUUCCCUUUGGUUUUGUUUGUUGGUUUGUUUUUUGACAGCAUACGGAAGUUCCAGACUAGGGGCUGAAUCAGAGCUACAGCUGCUGGCCUACACCACAGCUCAUGACAAUGCCAGAUCCUUAACCUGCUGAGCAAGGCCAGAGAUCCAACUCGCAUCCUCACGGAUACUAGUAGGGUUCGUAACACAACUGAGUCACAAUGGGAACUCCUAGUUUCCCUCCGUGAUGUUUUAUAGUUUUUCAUUGAAUAUUGUUUGCUAAAUUUAUUUCUGUUAUUCAUGCUAUUAUAUAUGGAAUUGUUUCCUGAAGUUUAUUUUUCAAUUGUUUGCAACUAGCAUAGAUGCUUUUUAAAUAUUGACUGUGUAUCUGAUGAUUGUUCUAAAUUCACGAAGUAUUUCUAAUUGCGAUUCAUGGCUUCCUAUAUAAACAAUCAUGUAAUCUGAAAAUAGUGAAAAAUUCACCUCUUCCACUACAAUAUUAGGACUUUUAUUUCAUUUUUGUUUGGCCCUCUGAUACUUGUUAAGAUCUCCAGUAUAAUGAUGAAGAAAAGUAGUGGGAGAAACACCGUGUCUUGUUCCCUUUUAUAGGAGGAAAGUGUUCAAUGUUCACCAUUAAAUAGGACAUGAGUUGUAAAUUUUUCAUUGAUGGCCUCAAUCCGAUUAAGAAAGCUCUCUUCUUUUACCGGUUUACUGAGAGUGUUCCUUUUGAAAGAGUACUCAGUUUUGUCACCUGUGUUCUCAUCAUCUAUUGAGAUGGUCAAAUGAUUAUUCAUUAUUUUGCUAAUAUGGUGGCAUCAUGUUGAUUUUUGAUUGCUAACCCAUUGUUUCUCUUGCAAUAAACCCACUCGACCAUAAUGUAUUAUCACUAUGUCUAUACAUACACACGUGCAUACAUGCAUAUAGACAUAUGCAUUUGGCUUGGAUUUGUUAAUGUGUUGGGAAGAAUUUUUUUCACCUGUGGUCAUAAAGGAUAUUGUUCUGUAAUUGUCAGAUUUUGGCAUUCGGGUUUUGGUGGCUUUAUAUAAUGAGUUAUGAAUUGCUCCUCCUCUUUUAUCUUCUCAAACAUUAGGUAAAAUUAGCAUUGUUUCUUUUUUUUGUACCUUAAAUAUUUGAUAGAUUUCACCAAGAAAGGAAACUGGAGCUAUAGUUUCCUUUGAGAGAAUGUUUUUGAUAAAUAAUUCAAUUUCCUUCAUAUAAGCUUCUUCACAUUUCUAAUUUCAUCUUGAAUCAGUUUGGUAGUUGUACUUUUCAAAUAGUUUCACUUCAUCUAAGUUGAAAAUUUUAUUGGCAUAUACUAAUUUAUGAUAUUCUAUCAUUUUAUGUCUGUCAUAGAGAUCUUUUUCAUCAUUGAUAUGGUAAUUUGUGGGAGGGGUUCCCUUUUUUGUCGUGAUCACUAUGGGCUAAUCACCUUUAACAAUUGAUCAAAUUAUGACCAAUUUCCCUCAAAAUCCUUGAACAUAUUUUUAUAAUAUGUCCUUAAAAAAUACCUGUCUGAAAUUUCCAGCGUUUGUGUUAUUUAGGGUUGGUUAUUUAGAGUUGCAUUUUUUUCCCUGUAUAUGCAUCAUAUUCACUCAUUUAUUCCUAUGUCUGAUACUUUGUUAUUGCCUGGCUAAAACUGUGGAUGCUACAUUGUUGAGUCUAGAUUUUCUCCUUUCACUUAACUAGUGCUCUGAUAUUUUUCUUUAAAAGGCAGUUAAUUUAUUGGCAGAUCAGGGAGGCUUGUUGAGCUUUGUUAGGGCAGUUCUAGGGUAGCUCUUACUCUAGGAUUUGGGUAGCCCUUCUUUGGAGGUGUAACCCCCUCCCAGGGCGGGGGGCGGGGGGCAAGUGUUUUCCCAGGCUGUCUGCCAGGUCUCUCCCCGGUGGCUGGUGAGAAUUUGUGACUCUCAGGAUUGUGUGAUCAGCAGAAUCUCUGUUCCCUUCCCAGCUCCCCUGCAACAGCUCUCUGCCAGGCCUUAGUUUGGGGCAGGGAAGGGGGAAGAGAAGGUCUUUGUUGUGCAUCUGCCUCUACCAUUCGACCAAAGACGAAAGGGAACCCCAUGAAAUAUUGGGGCAGCUGACUCUUCGUCAUCAGCCACCUCCACAGCCUGGAACUCUGGUCUCAGCUUCCCCAUCUCAGCAAGACCACUGUGCACUGCUUGCCUCCACAUCGUUGUGCUGCAGUCCAGAAACUACCAAGGCAGAGACUUGUAUGUUUCCUUUUCUCAGUGAGGACAGCCUGUUGUUCAAUGCCUGAAAACUCUUGCUUUAAAACUUUUGUCAGGUUUUUUUUUUUACCAAUUACUUAAUGAAUUUUAUUACAUUCAUAGGUGUACAACAAUCAUCACGACCAAAUUUUAUAGCAUUUCUUUCCCAAACCCCCAGCGCAUCCCCCCACCCCCCAACCUGUCUCAUUUGGAAACCAUAAGUUUUUCAAAGUCUGUGAGUCAUUAUCUGUUCUGCAAAGAGGUUUCUUGUGUCCUUUUUACAGAUCCCACAUGUAAGUGAUAGCAUUUGAUGUUGGUGUCUCAUUGUCUGACUGACUUCACUUAGCAUGAUUGUCAGGUUUUAUAGCGGCUUAUGGAUGUAGGGCAAGUAACAACUAUCCAUUUUGACCUGAAUCCAAAUUCCCCAAUUAUCCUUACUAUAAUUAUAGAUUAUUAUUAUUAUUAUUAUUAUUAUUAUUUUGGCUGUGUCUGUGGCACGUGGAUGUUCCCAGACCAGGAAUGGAAUCGGCUCCACAGCAGCUACCCCAACCGCUGCAGUGACAAUGCCAAAUCCUUAACCUCCUGUACCACAGGGAAUUCCAAUUAUAGAAUUAUUAUAAUGCUUAUUUCAUUUUUAGGAUUCUUGAUCCCUAUUGUCAAACUGACACCAUUAUAAGUAGUUUAUUAGGGUAAUCCUGUGAUUGGGCUUUUGAUCAAACUGGAUAACAUACUUCAUUUUUGAGUGUUCUUAAACGCUUUUUUCACAAAUGUUAUUUCCAGAUUUACAUGAAAUUUUUUAUAAUGUCUCAUUUUCUAUUAAAUUGCUGGUUUGA